rnacentral:rRNA from 1 species
AACCUCAACUCAGGCAAGACAACGCCGUGAACUAAAGCAUUUCAGUAACGGCAGGAAAAGAAAAUAACAAUGAUUCCCUUAGUAACUGCGAGUGAAGUGGGAACAGCUCAACGUUGAAAGCUGCAUUUUUAACGAAAUGUCGCAUUGUAACGUAUAGACUUGUUAUCGAGACAAUUGUCAGCAUUAAAGUCGUUAUGAAUAACGCACCAUAGAGGGUGUUAGUCCCGUGUAUGAUGUUGAUGCUAUUGUUGUGAAUAACAAUGUCAUAGAGUCGGAUUGUUUGGGAAUGCAGUCUAAAGUGGGUGGUAAACUCCAUCUAAAGCUAAAUAUUACCUCGAGACCGAUAGCGAACAAGUACCGCGAGGGAAAGUUGAAAAGCACUCUGAAAAGAAAGUGAAAAGUACGUGAAACCGUUAAUGGGGAAGCGCACAAUAGAAUCAAAGUGAUAUAUUGUUGAUGUGCGUUAUGUGCUAAAACACAUACGUGGCAGUUAUCAAUAUGUUACGCGCUGAGCUCGUUGCGAAUCGAUUGACAAUGUGCAUGAGUAGAUGACCAAAGUGAUGUCAUUAGAUAUCAUUUAAUUAUCUAUCUGUACAAUUGUUUUAAAAUUGAAUUGUGGCGUUGGUGAGUAGUUGCAGCAUGAGUGUAGUGGAGGUUGGCAGUGUUAGUCGAUUGGUUCAAAGAGCCAAUGACGACACUGUUAAAGGAAGCUGCAGUUAUGUUGUAGCGAUCACAAUAGUGGCUCACAUAUUCUCAGCGAGAUAUGCUAUUGUACGACCCGUCUUGAAACACGGACCAAGGAGGCUAACGUAUACGCGAGUCGAGGAGUGGAGAAACUCUUGGGCGUAAUGAAAGUGAAACUUGUGAGAUCUGGCAACGAUUAAAUGUUGUCAGCGCAUCACAGACCGGUUGUAGGGUUGCCUGCGAUUGAGUUUAGCGUAUGCGAUAGGACCCGAAAGAUGGUGAUCUAUGCCUGAGUAGGGCGAAUUCGUUUUAACCAACGAUGGAGGCCCGUAAGCGGUUCUAACGUGCAAAUUGAUCGUUUAACUUGGGUAUAGGGGCGAAAGACUAAUCGAACCAUCUAGUAGCUGGUUCCCUCCGAAAUAUCCCUCAGGAUCGCCGAGACUUGUAUUCUCAGUUUCAUCGGGUAGAGCGAAUGAUUAGAGGAAUCGGGGUUAUUUUUGACCUCGACCUAUUCUCAAACUAUCAAUCGGUGAUACGGAGCAUGAUUACUUGAGUGAAUCAUGCUUGUUAUGAAUGAGUGAGUCUCGAGUGGGCCGUUUUUGGUAAGCAGAACUGGCGAUGCGGGAUGAACCGAGAGUCGGGUUAAGGUGCCAAAGUAGAGGCAAACGGACACCACAAAAGGAGUUGGUAAAUGUUAACAAUAGGUCUGUGGCCCUGAAAGUAGGCACCAGCUAAGAAGUGUGCAACAACUUACCUAUCGAAUUUACUGGCCCUGAAAAUGGAUGGCGCUUAGCCUCUCACCGAUACCCGACCGUAGACGCGAGAAAUGAGACGUCUAUGGGUAGGAGGGUGUUGUGGUAGUUGCGAAGGUUGUACGUGAGUGCGACUGGAACUGCCACAAGUACAGAUCUUGGUUUUAGUAGCAGCGCAUAGAAGUGAGAACCUUCUAGGCCGAAGUGGAGAAGGGUUCCUUGUGAACAGCAGUUGGGCGAGGGUGAGUCGGUCCUAAGCGGCAGCUUACAUGCUGAACAAAAGGAAACGUUCUACAAUACGGCUCUUUUGACGUAUUGUUGAAGUUUCAGUCCGCAAAAGGGAAUCAGGUUAAUAUUCCUGAACCAAUGGGUGCAUAUCACACAGUGUUGGGGCUAAUUUGGUGCAAGCCAGAUUGGUUCAGGUGCUGUGAGUAGAGCGGUAACGCAAACAAACUCGGAUACAUUGUUGGCAGUUCUGGGGAGAGUUAUCUUUUCUGUUUAACCAGUUGAGUGAGCCUGGAAUAGAGUCGCUCGGAGAUAGGCUUAACAGCUGGGAAGAGCAUCGCAUUUUCGUGGUGUCCGGAGUGCUGCUAACGAUUCGUAAAAAUCCGGGGGCGUGGUUGAUUGUCACCCUUGGCCGUACCCAGAUCCGCAUCAGGUCUCCAAGGUGAAUAGCCUCUGGCUCUAGAAUAAUGUGGGUAAGGGAAGUCGGCAAAAUAGAUUCGUAACUUCGGGAUAAGGAUUGGCUCUAAGGAUUGGGUUGGUUGGACUGUGUGUUUGUUGAUAGAGCGCGUGAUGUUGACUGGUGCGAUACAACCAGCUGGUUCGUCCUGUUGGUUGUUUGCGUCGGUUGACGUUGCGAUGUUCUGUCCAGGAUGCAGUUUACAGUCGGCAUGCAUACUCUCGUAGUUUGUAUGUUUGGCUGUCUCGCAAUCAGCUAAAAUCAAUCAACUUAGAACUGUCACUGACUAGGGGAAUCCGACUGUUUAAUUAAAACAAAGCAUUGCGAUGGCUGGAAACGGUGUUGACGCAAUGUGAAUUCUGCCCAGUGCUCUGAAUGUCAAAGUGUGGAGACACAACCAAGCGCGGGUAAACGGCGGGUGUAACUCUGACUCUCUUAAGGUAGCCAAAUGCCUCGUCAUCUAAUUAGUGACGCGCAUGAAUGGAUCAACGAGAUUCCCACUGUCCCUACCUACCAUCUAGCGAACAAACAGUCAAGGGAACGGGCUUGACUGAGACAGCGGGGAAAGAAGACCCUGUUGAGCUUGACUCUAGUUUGACAUGGUGAGGAAACAUGAGGGGUGUAGAAUAGGUGGGAGAGUUGUGUAAGCAGCUCAAAGAUGAAAUACCACCACUCGCAUCGUUUCUUCACUAAAUCGGUGAUAACGGAUGUGCCCAAUCGCAGGUGUGAUCGUUAUACUUUUGAACAAUGCAGCUUGAUGACUUUGUUAUUAAGUUUGUAUUGCANAACAACAUGUCCUGUCUAACGUUUAGUGCCACCUCAGUGACGUUGCCACCAUACACCUGGUUGAUACAUUUCUUGUACUCCCCAACCAGACUAUUUUAUAAAGGAAUAAGUUUCUUGGAUGAGAGACAAAACAUCUUCUACUCACACGUUUACUCCAGUUGCCAUAUUUUAUGCUUGCUUGAGACUCAUUGACAAUUGUUCAAGGACGACUAUCAGCCCAAAUGUA